UACGUAGGGUCCGAGCGUUGUCCGGAAUUACUGGGCGUAAAGAGCUCGUAGGUGGUUUGUCGCGUUGUUCGUGAAAACUCACAGCUCAACUGUGGGCGUGCGGGCGAUACGGGCAGACUGGAGUACUGCAGGGGAGACUGGAAUUCCUGGUGUAGCGGUGGAAUGCGCAGAUAUCAGGAGGAAGACCAGUGGCGAAGGCGGGUCUCUGGACAGUUCCUGACACUGAGGCACGAAGGCCAGGGGAGCAAACGGG
rnacentral:rRNA from 1 species